ACUUGUGUAGCGGAGCGGUUUGAGGGCUAGACUACAACUCUGGAGACCAGGGUUCAAUUCCCAGCUUAUCCA